rnacentral:rRNA from 1 species
UACGUAGGGGGCAAGCGUUGUCCGGAUUUAUUGGGCGUAAAGAGCGUGUAGGCGGCCUGAAAGGUCAGCUGUGAAAACUCGAGGCUCAACCUCGAGACGUCGGUUGAAACCAUCUGGCUAGAGUCCGGAAGAGGAGUGUGGAAUUCCCGGUGUAGCGGUGAAAUGCGCAGAUAUCGGGAAGAACACCCGUGGCGAGGGCGGCACUCUGGGACGGUACUGACGCUGAGACGCGAAAGCGUGGGGAGCGCACAGG